GACGAACGCUGGCGGCAUGCUUAACACAUGCAAGUCGAACGGAAAGGCCCUGCUUUUGUGGGGUGCUCGAGUGGCGAACGGGUGAGUAACACGUGAGUAACCUGCCCUUGACUUUGGGAUAACUUCAGGAAACUGGGGCUAAUACCAGAUAGGAGCUCCUGCUGCAUGGUGGGGGUUGGAAAGUUUCGGCGGUUGGGGAUGGACUCGCGGCUUAUCAGCUUGUUGGUGGGGUAGUGGCUUACCAAGGCUUUGACGGGUAGCCGGCCUGAGAGGGUGACCGGCCACAUUGGGACUGAGAUACGGCCCAGACUCCUACGGGAGGCAGCAGUGGGGAAUAUUGCACAAUGGGCGGAAGCCUGAUGCAGCAACGCCGCGUGCGGGAUGACGGCCUUCGGGUUGUAAACCGCUUUCGCCUGUGACGAAGCGUGAGUGACGGUAAUGGGUAAAGAAGCACCGGCUAACUACGUG
rnacentral:rRNA from 1 species